rnacentral:rRNA from 1 species
AUUGAACGCUGGCGGCAGGCCUAGCACAUGCAAGUCGAACGGUAACAGGAAGAAGCUUGCUUCUUUGCUGACGAGUGGGGACGGGUGAGUAAUGUCUGGGAAACUGCCUGAUGGAGGGGGAUAACUACUGGAAACGGUAGCUAAUACCGCAUAACGUCGCAAGACCAAAGAGGGGGACCUUCGGGCCUCUUGCCAUCGGAUGUGCCCAGAUGGGAUUAGCUAGUAGGUGGGGUAACGGCUCACCUAGGCGACGAUCCCUAGCUGGUCUGAGAGGAUGACCAGCCACACUGGAACUGAGACACGGUCCAGACUCCUACGGGAGGCAGCAGUGGGGAAUAUUGCACAAUGGGCGCAAGCCUGAUGCAGCCAUGCCGCGUGUAUGAAGAAGGCCUUCGGGUUGUAAAGUACUUUCAGCGGGGAGGAAGGGAGUAAAGUUAAUACCUUUACUCAUUGACGUUACCCGCAGAAGAAGCACCGGCUAACUCCGUG